rnacentral:rRNA from 1 species
UGGGGAAUAUUGCACAAUGGAGGGAACUCUGAUGCAGCGACGCCGCGUGAACGAAGAAGGCUUUCGAGUCGUAAAGUUCUUUUAUAUGGGAAGGUAAUGACGGUACCAUAAGAAGAAGCCCCGGCUAACUACGUGCCAGCAGCCGCGGUAAUACGUAGGGGGCUAGCGUUGUCCGGAAUCACUGGGCGUAAAGGGUUCGCAGGCGGAAAUGCAAGUCAGGUGUAAAAGGCAGUAGCUUAACUACUGUAAGCAUUUGAAACUGCAUAUCUUGAGAAGAGUAGAGGUAAGUGGAAUUUUUAGUGUAGCGGUGAAAUGCGUAGAUAUUAAAAAGAAUACCGGUGGCGAAGGCGACUUACUGGGCUCAUUCUGACGCUGAGGAACGAAAGCGUGGGUAGCAAACAGG